GACGAACGCGGGGGGCGUGCUUAACACUGCAAGUCGAACGUGAUUUUUGGGAAAUUCUUUCGGGAAGGGAAAUGAAAUGAAAGUGGCGAACGGGUGAGUAACACGUGAGCAACCUACCUUACACAGGGGGAUAGCCGUGGAAACGACGAUUAAUACCGCAUGAGACCACAGAAUCGCAUGAUAUAGGGGUCAAAGAUUAUCGGUGUAGGAAGGGCUCGCGUCUGAUUAGCUAGUUGGAAGGGUAAAGGCCUACCAAGGCGACGAUCAGUAGCCGGUCUGAGAGGAUGAACGGCCACAUUGGAACUGAGACACGGUCCAAACUCCUACGGGAGGCAGCAGUGGGGAAUAUUGCACAAUGGGGGGAACCCUGAUGCAGCGGCGCCGCGUGAGCGAAGAAGGUUUUCGAAUCGUAAAGCUCUGUCCUAUGAGAAGAUAAUGACG
rnacentral:rRNA from 1 species